GAGCGGAAAGGCCCUUCGGGGUACUCGAGCGGCGAACGGGUGAGUAACACGUGAGCAAUCUGCCCUUGGCUCUGGGAUAGCUCCGGGAAACCGGAAUUAAUACCGGAUAUGACUGCUUUUGACAUCUUUUGUGGUGGAAAGGGUUUCCGGCCAGGGAUGAGCUCGCGGCCUAUCAGCUUGUUGGUGGGGUAACGGCCUACCAAGGCGACGACGGGUAGCCGGCCUGAGAGGGCGACCGGCCACACUGGGACUGAGACACGGCCCAGACUCCUACGGGAGGCAGCAGUGGGGAAUAUUGCGCAAUGGGCGGAAGCCUGACGCAGCGACGCCGCGUGGGGGAUGACGGCCUUCGGGUUGUAAACCCCUUUCAGCAGGGACGAAGCGUGAGUGAUGUUACAUGCAGAAGAAGCGCCGAUCAUGUACGGCCCAGCAGCCGAGAUAAU
rnacentral:rRNA from 1 species